GACGUAGGGGGCGAGCGUUGUCCGGAUUUACUGGGCGUAAAGCGCGCGCAGGCGGCCCGUUAAGUCGGAUGUGAAAACCUGGGGCUCAACCCCAGGCCUGCACCCGAUACUGGCGGGCUCGAGGCAGGUAGGGGAGAGUGGAAUUCCCGGUGUAGCGGUGAAAUGCGCAGAUAUCGGGAGGAACACCAAUGGCGAAGGCAGCUCGCUGGGACGGUACUGACGCUGAGACGA
rnacentral:rRNA from 1 species